rnacentral:pre_miRNA from 1 species
AUGCCAAACACCUGCGGAUCUUGUUAAAAUGCAGAUUCUGAUUCAGUAAGUCUCCGUGGGACCCACAAUUCUGCAUUUCUAACAAGUUCCCAGGUGGUACUCAU